CCUACGGGAGGCAGCAGUGGGGAAUAUUGCACAAUGGGGGAAACCCUGAUGCAGCGACGCCGCGUGAGUGAAGAAGUAUUUCGGCAUGUAAAGCUCUGUCAGCAGGGAAGAAAAUGACGGUACCUGACCAAGAAGCCCCGGCUAACUACGUGCCAGCAGCCGCGGUAAUACGUAGGGGGCAAGCGUUAUCCGGAUUUACUGGGCGUAAAGGGCGCGUAGACGGCAGGGCAAGUCUGGAGUGAAAGCCGGGGGCUGAACCCCCGGACUGCUGUGGAAACUGCCAGGCUGGAGUGCAGGAGAGGUAAGUGGAAUUCCUGGUGUAGCGGUGAAAUGCGUAGAUAUUAGGAGGAACA
rnacentral:rRNA from 1 species